GGAUUACCAGCUUUAGCAGUACAGAAACUAGGAAUGGAAUGAUACUGAGAAGAUAAGCAUGGCCCCCGUGCAAGGAAGACAUGCAAAUUUGUGAAGAAAAGCACGACCUG